AGAAAUUUCUUUCAUUUUACUAUAUCUUGAAUCCUAUCACAUUUUUUUUUAUCUUAUAGUCAAGAAAUUCAUUUUGCAUUGCAAAAUUUGCAACACUUUGCAGUCAAUCAUUUUAUUGAUUAUCCGUCUGUCAUAAUCCUUAACCUUAACCUUAAAUAUCCGUGCGACACUUUUAUAUAACCUCAGCAUGAACUUUAGGAUGUUAAGCAAACAUUUUACAACCUGUAUGCAACGGAUCUCAAAUCUGCAAGAUUGCAAAUAGCGACUAACCAUUGUAGUCUUACAGUAAUCUCCUAUCGAAAUAAUACUUUAAGAA